UCUCACUCCACAGCCAUAAAAAAUACAUCAAAAUGGAGGUAUAUGUGUCCUGCUUCUCACAAAAGAGGUUUCAAAUCAUUAAAUCCUACCCCUUGGCCAGCAGGUGACCAACUGUCCAAAUAGGCGGAAAUCUCUCCCCAUUGGCCCUAAUGUAUUUUUUCUCCAAGAAAAUCCUUAUCGCCACUGAGGCUCAGACUUUUUUAACUCGCUGUUGUGGCCACAUUUUUCGGAGUACAGACAUGAAAAACACAUCAUUGUGUUCAUGAAGGACGGAGGAUUCGUACGAUGUUCUUAUUUUCAUUCUGGGACUUAAGGAAAUCACGCUAUGUGAAGAAGUUCACAGGCUGAAAUUCACUGCAGUUCAGCACCUCUCAGUCAAACAGUAGGUUAGUGAUUUGCCUUUGAUCUCACAGCUGUUUAGGAUGCAGUCAUUAACGAGACACACACACACACACACACACAUUCUUGUACUUGUUGCUUUUUGAGGUCCACCUUGCAGUUCAGCUGCUUGUACACACAGUUAAUAUGUGUCUGCUUCACCACCUAUCUCCACCCACAAACUUUGAGCUACAGAAACCAUUCUGGGCUUGAAAAAUUCAGCUCAUUGAAGAUAUUAUGGGGUGUUUUGAGGAUUGUGAUAAUAAAUUGUAUUAAUGUGUUCAGCAGAGUCUUGUGUUCUCACAAGCUCCUUAUGAAUAUAUACAGAGGGUGAGCGUCAGGGCCUACUUGGAGUCCUGUUUCUUUAGCUUCAAGCCUUCUUUCUCCUGCUAUAGUUAUGCAUCCAAGGUCCCCAUGGCAACCAAUUUGUGCACCUGGAGACACACAGCUGACUGGAAAGCUGCUUCUAAUGGCCAUAUGAGACACAUGAAGCCAGGCUCAGUACACAUAGCACUGGGGAUGACACUUAAAACCCUUUCCUAGAGCGUUGGAAAAAACUUCAGCCCCUAUCUCCUCACAUGACCUUUGACCUACAGAAACCAUUCAGGGCUUUAAAAUUUAAGCUCAUUGAGGACAUUAUGGGGUGUAUUCAGGAUUUAUAUUCAUUUACAUUUUUCACAUUUUAAAAGUCAGUCAGUGAUGAUUUAUCAUUUAAUUUUUCAAACUAAUUUAAACUCAUUCAAACUGAUACUUGAGGAUUUUAAAGUAUUUAAAUUUUCCAUGUUUUAAAUUAGUUUUAAUAUUCAUGCAUUACUCCAUCCUUCAAACAAAAUCCUACCUCAAGUACGACAACUACUGCUAAUGUCAAUUUAACUAGUACUUUCCCCUCUACUUCAACUGCUAUUGCUCCUAUUUCUACUUUCUCUACUUCAACUGCUAUUGCUACUGUUUCUACUUUCUCUACUAUUUUGACUUAUACUUCUUUUAUUCUCAAACUACUUCUACUGCUGACACGACUACUAGUAUCACGACUUGACCUCUUAUCAUACUACUUCUAGUACUACAACUUAAACUAAUGCCACUUCUCACCUUCCUGCCUUUUAAGGCAAUUUCCUUCUUCAUUCAAACUUUGUGCAAUUUUAGACAUUUUUCUAGCCUCAUUCAGCAUGAAUCAAAUUUCCUUUUAUAGAGCAUAUUCAUACUAUUUGUCCUUCAACCAAUGAAACCAUUAUCCAACUUAUAUUUCUUUUUCAUUACUUCAACAGCUUUAACAUUUAUACCUUUCUCCAUGUUUUAUUAGCAGUUUAAGCAUUGCUUUUUCAGCUUUAGCACUCAGCAUUUCCACGCAUUUUCUGCAAGGAAAUGCAAUUUUUCUAGUUAAGUGGAAAUGCUGAUAGGCAUUUCCACUUAUUGUUAUUCUCCUGUUUCUUUAUUAUUAUUAUUAUUAUUAUUAUUUUUCUUCCGCCAUUUUUUGGCACUUUAUAACUCUUCUCCACUUUGUGCGAUUUCAACCGUUCAAACUUUAAACUAUUCCUCUCCUUCAGGACAUGACGGCGAUUACUUUUCACUUUUCUACCCUUUAUACUUUUUGAUUUUUUUAACUUUUUAUGCAAAAAUUUUAACAUUGAAGUCAAUGGGGAAAUCUUCCAAUUCUUCCUGUUAUUCUUCCACCUUCUGAACCUUGUAACUUCUGCAUACUUUCACCUAGAGACCUCAUUUUUGCUUUAAAAUGUUCAUUGUCUUGUCGACUAUUACAGUUGUAGUCAGUUUUUUGAUAUCUUUUACAGUUCUUCCACAACAAUUUAGCUUUAAGCAACUUGUGGUUUUCAGCAAAUUUUCAGGCUUUAUAAUGGGUGUGUAUUGGAGAGUUUAGAGUGAGGAUUUGAAAAGCUAGAGUGCAGACCUCGUCUCUGAUCGACAGAACCUCGCUCGAAUAUAUCGCUCCCACGCCUACAAAUCUCACUCCACAGACAUAAAAAAUACAUCAAAAUGGAGGUAUAUGUGUCCUGCUUCUCACAAAAGAGGUUUCAAAUCAUUUAAUCCUACCCCUUGGCCAGCAGGUGACCAACUGUUCAAAUAGGCGGAAAUCUCUCCCAUUAGCCCUAAUGUAUUUUUUCUGCAAGAAAAUCCUUAUCGCCACUCAGGCUCAGACUUUUUUAACUCGCUGUUGUGGCCACAUUUCUUGGAGUACAGACAUGAAAAACACAUCAUUGUGUUCAUGAAGGGCGGAGGAUUCGUACGAUGUUCUUAUUUUCAUUCUUGGACUUAAGGAAAUCACGCUAUGUGAAGAAGUUCAGAGGCAAUAAAUUCACUGCACUUAAGGAGCUUCUCAGUCAAACAGUUGGUCAGUUAAUGCCUUUGAUCUCACAGCUGUUUAGGAUGCAGUCAUUAAGGAGAGACACACACACACACAUUCUUGUACUUGCUGCCUUGUGAGGUCUAUGAGAAAAGACCCACAAAGCGAGGACUACAAACUUUGAGCUACAGAAACCAUUCAGGGCUUCCAAAUAUUCAGCUCAUUGAGGACAAUAUGGGGUGUACUCAGGAUUUUUAUUCAUUUAACUUUUUCCCACUUUAAAAUUAUUCUCAUUAUUCAUGCAUUAUUAAAUGCUUCAGACAAAUCCAAACUCAUUCAAACUGAUUCAAACCUUUCGGAUACUUCAAACCUGUUUAACACAUUAGGACGUCUAAUUAUUUAAAGUUUUUCCCACUUCAAAAUCAUUCUCAUUAUUUAUGUAUGUUUUGAUUCUUCAAGCAAAAUCCCAGUUCUACCACUACAAUUACUACUUAUGUCACCUUAACUUGUAUCUUCACUUCUACCUCCACUGCUCUUGCUUCUCUUAAUAUUUUUUUACUUCUACUCUUACUUCUACCACGAGCUCUACUGCUUUGACUUCUACUUCUUCUAUUCUAAAACUACUUCUACUGCUUACAUGACUACUAAUAUCACUACUACAACUACCUAUUAUCAUACUACUUCUAGUACUACAACUUAAACUUAUGCCACUUCUCACGUACUUGCCUUUUAAGGUAAUUUACUUCUUCAUUCAAACUUUGUGUAAUUGUAAAAAAAUUUCCAGCCUCUUUCAGCAUGAAUCAAAUUUCAAUUUGAGGAGCAUAUUCGUACUAUUUAUUCUCCAACCUCUUAUUUACAAUUAUUUAACUUAUAUAUUUUUUCCCCCCUUCAACAGCUUUUACAUUUAUACCUUUCUCCAUGUUUUAUUAGCAGUUUAGCAUUGCUUUUUCAGCUUUCAGCACUCAGCAUUUCCACGCAUUUUCUGCAAGGAAAUGCAAUUUUUCUAGUUAAGUGGAAAUGCUGAUUAAGCAUUUCCACUUAUUGUUAUUCUCCCGUUUCUUUAUUAAGUGGAAAUGCUGAUAGGCAUUUCCACUUAUUGUUAUUCUCCCGUUUCUUUAUUAUUAAGUGGAAAUGCUGAUAGGCAUUUCCACUUAUUGUUAUUCUCCCGUUUCUUUAUUAUUAUUAUUAUUAUUAUUAUUAUUCUUCCGCCGUUUUUCGUCCGCUUUCAACUCCUUCCCAGUUUGUGCGAUUUCAACCGUUCAAACUUUAAACUAUUCCACUCCUUCAGGACACGUUUGCUAUUACUUUUCACUUUUCUAACAUUUAUACUUUUUGUUUUUUUUAACUUUUUGUGCAAAAAUUUUAACAUUGAAGUCAAUGGGGAAAUCUUCCAAUUCUUCCUUUUAUUCUUCCACCUUCUAGACCUUAUAACUUCAGCAUACUUUCACCUAGAGACCUCAUUUUUGCUUUAAAAUGUUCAUUCACUUGUCGACUAUUAAAGUUGUACUCAGUUUUUUUAUAUCUCUUACAGUUUUUCCACAAUUUAGCUUUAAGCAACUUGUGGUUUUCAGCAAAUUUCAGGCUUUAUAAUGGGUGUGUAUUGGAGAGUUUAGAGUGAUGAUGUCAUCAGCUAGAGUGCAGACCUCGUCUCUGAUCGACAGAACCUCGCUCGAAUAUAUCGCUCCCACGCCCACAAAUCUCACUCCACUGACACAAAUAAUACAUCAAAAUGGAGGUAUAUGUGUCCUGCUUCUCACAAAAGAGGUUUCAAAUCAUUAAAUCGUACCCCUUGGCCAGCAGGUGACCAACUGUCCAAAGAAGGCGGAAAUCUCUCCCAUUGACCGUAAUGUUAAUUUUCUCCAAGAAAAUCCGGAUCAUCGCUCAGGCUCAGACUUUUUUAACUCGCUGUUGUGGCCACAUCUGUCGGAGUACAGACAUGAAAAAUACUUCAUUGUGUUCAUGAAGGGCGGAGGAUUCGUACGAUGUUCUUAUUUUCAUUCUGUGACUUAAGGAAAUCACGCUAUGUGAAGAAGUUUAGAGCCUCUAAAUCCUCUGCAGUUCAGCUGCUUCUCAUUCAAACAGUAGGUCAGUGAUUUGCCUUUGAUCUCACAGCUGUUUAGGAUGCAGUCAUUAACGAGACACACACACACACACACACACACACACACAUUCUUGUACUUGUUGCUUUAUGAGGUCUACCUUGCAGUUCAGCUGCUUGUACACACAGUUAAUAUGUGUCUGCUUCACCACCUAUCUCCACCCACAAACUUUGAGCUACAGAAACCAUUCUGGGCUUCUAAAAUUCAGCUCAUUGAAGAUAUUAUGGGGUGUUUUGAGGAUUGUGAUAAUAAAUUGUAUUAAUGUGUUUAGCAGAGUCUUGUGUUCUCACAAGCUCCUUAUCAGGAAUAGAUACAGAGGAUGAGCGUCAGGGCCUACUUGGAGUCCUGUUUCCUUAGCUUCAAGCCUUCUUUCUCCUGCUAUAGUUAUGCAUCCAAGGUCCCCAUGGCAACCAAUUAGUGCACCUGGAGACACACAGCUGACUGGAAAGCUGCUUCUAAUGGCCAUAUGAGACACAUGAAGCCAGGCUCAGUACACAUAGCACUGGGGAUGACACUUAAAACCCUUUCCUAGAGCGCUUGAAAAAACUUCAGCCCCUAUCUCCUCACAUGACCUUUGACCUACAGAAACCAUUCAGGGCUUUAAAAUUUAAGCUCAUUGAGGACAUUAUGGGGUGUAUUUAGGAUUUAUAUUCAUUUAAAUUUUUCACAUUUUAAAGUCACUCAGUGAUGAUUUAUCAUUUAAUUUUUCAAACUAAUUUGAACUGAUUCAAACUGAUUCAAACCUUUCUAAUACUUAAAAAAUUAAACUUAUGCCACUUCCCACCUUCCUGCCUUUUAAGGCAAUUUCCUUCUUCAUUCAAACUUUGUGCAAUUUUAGACAUUUUUCUAGCCUCUUUCAGCAUGAAUAAAAUUUCUUUUUAUAGAGCAUAUUCAUACUAUUUGUCCUUCAACCAAUUAAUCAAUUAUCCAACUUACAUUUCUUUCACACCCCUUCAACAGCUUUAACAUUUAUACCUUUCUCCAUGUUUUAUUAGCAGUUUAGCAUUGCUUUUUCAGCUUUCAGCACUCAGCAUUUCCACGCAUUUUCUGCAAGGAAAUGCAAUUUUUCUAGUUAUUAUUAUUAUUAUUAUUAUUCUUCCGCCGUUUUUCGUCCGCUUUCAACUCCUUCCCAGUUUGUGCGAUUUCAACCGUUCAAACUUUAAACUAUUCCACUCCUUCAGGACACGUUUGCUAUUACUUUUCACUUUUCUAACAUUUAUACUUUUUGUUUUUUUUAACUUUUUGUGCAAAAAUUUUAACAUUGAAGUCAAUGGGGAAAUCUUCCAAUUCUUCCUUUUAUUCUUCCACCUUCUAGACCUUAUAACUUCAGCAUACUUUCACCUAGAGACCUCAUUUUUGCUUUAAAAUGUUCAUUCACUUGUCGACUAUUAAAGUUGUACUCAGUUUUUUUAUAUCUCUUACAGUUUUUCCACAAUUUAGCUUUAAGCAACUUGUGGUUUUCAGCAAAUUUCAAGCUUUAUAAUGGGUGUGUAUUGGAGAGUUUAGAGUGAUGAUGUCAUCAGCUAGAGUGCAGACCUCGUCUCUGAUCGACAGAACCUCGCUCGAAUAUAUCGCUCCCACGCCCACAAAUCUCACUCCACUGACACAAAUAAUACAUCAAAAUGGAGGUAUAUGUGUCCUGCUUCUCACAAAAGAGGUUUCAAAUAAUUAAAUCGUACCCCUUGGCCAGCAGGUGACCAACUGUCCAAAAAAGGCAGAAAUCUCUCCCAUUGACCGUAAUGUAAUUUGUCUCCAAGAAAAUCCGGAUCAUCGCUCAGGCUCAGACUUUUUUAACUCGCUGUUGUGGCCACAUUUUUCGGAGUACAGACAUGAAAAACACAUCAUUGUGUUCAUGAAGGGCGGAGGAUUCGUACGAUGUUCUUAUUUUCAUUCUGGGACUUAAGGAAAUCACGCUAUGUGAAGAAGUUUAGAGCCUCUAAAUCCUCUGCAGUUCAGCUGCUUCUCAUUCAAACAGUAGGUCAGUGAUUUGCCUUUGAUCUCACAGCUGUUUAGGAUGCAGUCAUUAACGAGACACACACACACACACACACACACACACAUUCUUGUACUUGUUGCUUUAUGAGGUCUACCUUGCAGUUCAGCUGCUUGUACACACAGUUAAUAUGUGUCUGCUUCGCCACCUAUCUCCACCCACAAACUUUGAGCUACAGAAACCAUUCUGGGCUUCUAAAAUUCAGCUCAUUGAAGAUAUUAUGGGGUGUUUUGAGGAUUGUGAUAAUAAAUUGUAUUAAUGUGUUUAGCAGAGUCUUGUGUUCUCACAAGCUCCUUAUCAGGAAUAGAUACAGAGGAUGAGCGUCAGGGCCUACUUGGAGUCCUGUUUCCUUAGCUUCAAGCCUUCUUUCUCCUGCUAUAGUUAUGCAUCCAAGGUCCCCAUGGCAACCAAUUAGUGCACCUGGAGACACACAGCUGACUGGAAAGCUGCUUCUAAUGGCCAUAUGAGACACAUGAAGCCAGGCUCAGCACACAUAGCACUGGGGAUGACACUUAAAACCCUUUACUAGAGCGCUUGAAAAAACUUCAGCCCCUAUCUCCUCACAUGACCUUUGACCUACAGAAACCAUUCAGGGCUUUAAAAUUUGAGCUCAUUGAGGACAUUAUGGUGUGUAUUUAGGAUUUAUAUACAUUUAGAUUUUUCACAUUUUAAAGUCACUCAGUGAUGAUUUAUCAUUUAAUUUUUCAAACUAAUUUGAACUGAUUCAAACUGAUUCAAACCUUUCUAAUAGUUAAAAAAUUAAACUUAUGCCACUUCCCACCUUCCUGCCUUUUAAGGCAAUUUCCUUCUUCAUUCAAACUUUGUGCAAUUUUAGACAUUUUUCUAGCCUCUUCCAGCAUGAAUAAAAUUUCUUUUUAUAGAGCAUAUUCAUACUAUUUGUCCUUCAACCAAUUAAUCAAUUAUCCAACUUACAUUUCUUUCACACCCCUUCAACAGCUUUAACAUUUAUACCUUUCUCCAUGUUUUAUUAGCAGUUUAGCAUUGCUUUUUCAGCUUUCAGCACUCAGCAUUUCCACGCAUUUUCUGCAAGGAAAUGCAAUUUUUCUAGUUAAGUGGAAAUGCUGAUAGGCAUUUCCACUUAUUGUUAUUCUCCCGUUUCUUUAUUAUUAUUAUUAUUAUUCUUCCGCCGUUUUUCGUCCGCUUUCAACUCCUUCCCAGUUUGUCCGAUUUCAACCGUUCAAACUUUAAACUAUUCCACUCCUUCAGGACACGUUUGCUAUUACUUUUCACUUUUCUAACAUUUAUACUUUUUGUUUUUUUUAACUUUUUGUGCAAAAAUUUUAACAUUGAAGUCAAUGGGGAAAUCUUCCAAUUCUUCCUUUUAUUCUUCCACCUUCUAGACCUUAUAACUUCAGCAUACUUUCACCUAGAGACCUCAUUUUUGCUUUAAAAUGUUCAUUCACUUGUCGACUAUUAUAGUUGUACUCAGUUUUUUGAUAUCUCUUACAGUUUUUCCACAAUUUAGCUUUAAGCAACUUGUGGUUUUCAGCAAAUUUCAAGCUUUAUAAUGGGUGUGUAUUGGAGAGUUUAGAGUGAUGAUGUCAUCAGCUAGAGUGCAGACCUCGUCUCUGAUCGACAGAACCUCGCUCGAAUAUAUCGCUCCCACGCCCACAAAUCUCACUCCACUGACACAAAUAAUACAUCAAAAUGGAGGUAUAUGUGUCCUGCUUCUCACAAAAGAGGUUUCAAAUCAUUAAAUCGUACCCCUUGGCCAGCAGGUGACCAACUGUCCAAAGAAGGCGGAAAUCUCUCCCAUUGACCGUAAUGUUAUUUUUCUCCAAGAAAAUCCGGAUCAUCGCUCAGGCUCAGACUUUUUUAACUCGCUGUUGUGGCCUCAUUUUUCGGAGUACAGACAUGAAAAACACAUCAUUGUGUUCAUGAAGGGCGGAGGAUUCGUACGAUGUUCUUAUUUUCAUUCUGUGACUUAAGGAAAACACGCUAUGUGAAGAAGUUUAGAGCCUCUAAAUCCUCUGCAGUUCAGCUGCUUCUCAUUCAAACAGUAGGUCAGUGAUUUGCCUUUGAUCUCACAGCUGUUUAGGAUGCAGUCAUUAACGAGACACACACACACACACACACACACACAUUCUUGUACUUGUUGCUUUAUGAGGUCUACCUUGCAGUUCAGCUGCUUGUACACACAGUUAAUAUGUGUCUGCUUCGCCACCUAUCUCCACCCACAAACUUUGAGCUACAGAAACCAUUCUGGGCUUCUAAAAUUCAGCUCAUUGAAGAUAUUAUGGGGUGUUUUGAGGAUUGUGAUAAUAAAUUGUAUUAAUGUGUUUAGCAGAGUCUUGUGUUCUCACAAGCUCCUUAUCAGGAAUAGAUACAGAGGAUGAGCGUCAGGGCCUACUUGGAGUCCUGUUUCCUUAGCUUCAAGCCUUCUUUCUCCUGCUAUAGUUAUGCAUCCAAGGUCCCCAUGGCAACCAAUUAGUGCACCUGGAGACACACAGCUGACUGGAAAGCUGCUUCUAAUGGCCAUAUGAGACACAUGAAGCCAGGCUCAGCACACAUAGCACUGGGGAUGACACUUAAAACCCUUUCCUAGAGCGCUUGAAAAAACUUCAGCCCCUAUCUCCUCACAUGACCUUUGACCUACAGAAACCAUUCAGGGCUUUAAAAUUUGAGCUCAUUGAGGACAUUAUGGGGUGUAUUUAGGAUUUAUAUACAUUUAGAUUUUUCACAUUUUAAAGUCACUCAGUGAUGAUUUAUCAUUUAAUUUUUCAAACUAAUUUGAACUGAUUCAAACUGAUUCAAACCUUUCUAAUACUUAAAAAAUUAAACUUAUGCCACUUCCCACCUUCCUGCCUUUUAAGGCAAUUUCCUUCUUCAUUCAAACUUUGUGCAAUUUUAGACAUUUUUCUAGCCUCUUUCAGUAUGAAUAAAAUUUCUUUUUAUAGAGCAUAUUCAUACUAUUUGUCCUUCAACCAAUUAAUCAAUUAUCCAACUUACAUUUCUUUCACACCCCUUCAACAGCUUUAACAUUUAUACAUUUCUCCAUGUUUUAUUAGCAGUUUAGCAUUGCUUUUUCAGCUUUCAGCACUCAGCAUUUCCACGCAUUUUCUGCAAGGAAAUGCAAUUUUUCUAGUUAAGUGGAAAUGCUGAUAGGCAUUUCCACUUAUUGUUAUUCUCCCGUUUCUUUAUUAUUAUUAUUAUUAUUAUUAUUAUUAUUCUUCCGCCGUUUUUCGUCCGCUUUCAACUCCUUCCCAGUUUGUGCGAUUUCAACCGUUCAAACUUUAAACUAUUCCACUCCUUCAGGACACGUUUGCUAUUACUUUUCACUUUUCUAACAUUUAUACUUUUUGUUUUUUUUAACUUUUUGUGCAAAAAUUUUAACAUUGAAGUCAAUGGGGAAAUCUUCCAAUUCUUCCUUUUAUUCUUCCACCUUCUAGACCUUAUAACUUCAGCAUACUUUCACCUAGAGACCUCAUUUUUGCUUUAAAAUGUUCAUUCACUUGUCGACUAUUAUAGUUGUACUCAGUUUUUUGAUAUCUUUUACAGUUUUUCCACAAUUUAGCUUUAAGCAACUUGUGGUUUUCAGCAAAUUUCAAGCUUUAUAAUGGGUGUGUAUUGGAGAGUUUAGAGUGAUGAUGUCAUCAGCUAGAGUGCAGACCUCGUCUCUGAUCGACAGAACCUCGCUCGAAUAUAUCGCUCCCACGCCCACAAAUCUCACUCCACUGACACAAAUAAUACAUCAAAAUGGAGGUAUAUGUGUCCUGCUUCUCACAAAAGAGGUUUCAAAUCAUUAAAUCCUACCCCUUGGCCAGCAGGUGACCAACUGUCCAAAAAAGGCGGAAAUCUCUCCCAUUGACCAUAAUGUUAUUUUUCUCCAAGAAAAUCCGGAUCAUCGCUCAGGCUCAGACUUUUUUAACUCGCUGUUGUGGCCUCAUUUUUCGAAGUACAGACAUGAAAAAGACAUCAUUGUGUUCAUGAAGGGCGGAGGAUUCGUACGAUGUUCUUAUUUUCAUUCUGUGACUUAAGGAAAUCACGCUAUGUGAAGAAGUUUAGAGCCUCUAAAUCCUCUGCAGUUCAGCUGCUUCUCAUUCAAACAGUAGGUCAGUGAUUUGCCUUUGAUCUCACAGCUGUUUAGGAUGCAGUCAUUAACGAGACACACACACACACACACACACACACAUUCUUGUACUUGUUGCUUUAUGAGGUCUACCUUGCAGUUCGACUGCUUGUACACACAGUUAAUAUGUGUCUGCUUCGCCACCUAUCUCCACCCACAAACUUUGAGCUACAGAAACCAUUCUGGGCUUCUAAAAUUCAGCUCAUUGAAGAUAUUAUGGGGUGUUUUGAGGAUUGUGAUAAUAAAUUGUAUUAAUGUGUUCAGCAGAGUCUUGUGUUCUCACAAGCUCCUUAUCAGGAAUAGAUACAGAGGAUGAGUGUCAGGGCCUACUUGGAGUCCUGUUUCCUUAGCUUCAAGCCUUCUUUCUCCUGCUAUAGUUAUGCAUCCAAGGUCCCCAUGGCAACCAAUUAGUGCACCUGGAGACACACAGCUGACUGGAAAGCUGCUUCUAAUGGCCAUAUGAGACACAUGAAGCCAGGCUCAGUACACAUAGCACUGGGGAUGACACUUAAAACCCUUUCCUAGAGCGCUUGAAAAAACUUCAGCCCCUAUCUCCUCACAUGACCUUUGACCUACAGAAACCAUUCAGGGCUUUAAAAUUUAAGCUCAUUGAGGACAUUAUGGGGUGUAUUUAGGAUUUAUAUUCAUUUAGAUUUUUCACAUUUUAAAGUCACUCAGUGAUGAUUUAUCAUUUAAUUUUUCAAACUAAUUUGAACUGAUUCAAACUGAUUCAAACCUUUCUAAUACUUAAAAAAUUAAACUUAUGCCACUUCUCACCUUCCUGCCUUUUAAGGCAAUUUCCUUCUUCAUUCAAACUUUGUGCAAUUUUAGACAUUUUUCUAGCCUCUUUCAGCAUGAAUAAAAUUUCCUUUUAUAGAGCAUAUUCAUACUAUUUGUCCUUCAACCAAUUAAUCAAUUAUCCAACUUAUAUUUCUGUUCACCCCUUCAACAGCUUUAACAUUUAUACCUUUCUCCAUGUUUUAUUAGCAGUUUAGCAUUGCUUUUUCAGCUUUCAGCACUCAGCAUUUCCACGCAUUUUCUGCAAGGAAAUGCAAUUUUUCUAGUUAUUAUUAUUAUUCUUCCGCCGUUUUUCGUCCGCUUUCAACUCCUUCCCAGUUUGUGCGAUUUCAACCGUUCAAACUUUAAACUAUUCCACUCCUUCAGGACACGUUUGCUAUUACUUUUCACUUUUCUAACAUUUAUACUUUUUGUUUUUUUUUACUUUUUGUGCAAAAAAUUUUAACAUUGAAGUCAAUGGGGAAAUCUUCCAAUUCUUCCUUUUUUUCUUCCACCUUCUAGACCUUAUAACUUCAGCAUACUUUCACCUAGAGACCUCAUUUUUGCUUUAAAAUGUUCAUUCACUUGUCGACUAUUACAGUUGUACUCAGUUUUUUGACAUCUCUUACAGUUUUUCCACAAUUUAGCUUUAAGCAACUUGUGGUUUUCAGCAAAUUUCAAGCUUUAUAAUGGGUGUGUAUUGGAGAGUUUAGAGUGAUGAUGUCAUCAGCUAGAGUGCAGACCUCGUCUCUGAUCGACAGAACCUCGCUCGAAUAUAUCGCUCCCACGCCCACAAAUCUCACUCCACUGACACAAAUAAUACAUCAAAAUGGAGGUAUAUGUGUCCUGCUUCUCACAAAAGAGGUUUCAAAUCAUUAAAUCGUACCCCUUGGCCAGCAGGUGACCAACUGUCCAAAGAAGGCGGAAAUCUCUCCCAUUGACGGUAAUGUUAUUUUUCUCCAAGAAAAUCCGGAUCAUCGCUCAGGCUCAGACUUUUUUAACUCGCUGUUGUGGCCACAUUUUUCGGAGUGCAGACAUGAAAAACACAUCAUUGUGUUCAUGAAGGACGGAGGAUUCGUACGAUGUUCUUAUUUUCAUUCUGGGACUUAAGGAAAUCACGCUAUGUGAAGAAGUUCACAGGCUUCAAAUCCUCUGCUGUUCAGCUGCUUCUCAUUCAAACAGUAGGUCAGUGAUUUGCCUUUGAUCUCACAGCUGUUAGGGAUGCAGUCAUUAAUGAGAAACACACACACACACGCACACAUUCUUGUACUUGUUGCAUUGUCAGGUCUACCUUGCAGUUCACCUGCUUGUACACACAGAUAAUAUGUGUCUGCUUCACCACCUAUCUCCACCCACAAACUUUGAGCUACAGAAACCAUUCUGGGCUUGAAAAAUUCAGCUCAUUGAAGAUAUUAUGGGGUGUUUUGAGGAUUGUGAUAAUAAAUUGUAUUAAUGUGUUCAGCAGAGUCUUGUGUUCUCACAAGCUCCUUAUGAAUAUAUACAGAGGGUGAGCGUCAGGGCCUACUUGGAGUCCUGUUUCCUUAGCUUCAAGCCUUCUUUCUCCUGCUAUAGUUAUGCAUCCAAGGUCCCCAUGGCAACCAAUUUGUGCACCUGGAGACACACAGCUGACUGGAAAGCUGCUUCUAAUGGCCAUAUGAGACACAUGAAGCCAGGCUCAGUACACAUAGCACUGGGGAUGACACUUAAAACCCUUUCCUAGAGCGCUUGAAAAACCUUCAGCCCCUAUCUCCUCACAUGACCUUUGACCUACAGAAACCAUUCAGGGCUUUAAAAUUUAAGCUCAUUGAGGACAUUAUGGGGUGUAUUUAGGAUUUAUAUUCAUUUAAAUUUUUCUCAUUUUAAAGUCACUCAGUGAUGAUUUAUCAUUUAAUUUUUCAAACUAAUUUAAACUCAUUCAAACUGAUUCAAACCUUUCUAAUACUUAAAAACUUUCUGAUACUUGAGGAUUUUUAAUUAAUAAAAUUUUCCCUGUUUUAUAUUAUUUUUAAUAUUUAUGCAUUAAUCCGUCCUUCAAACAAAAUCCUACCUCUAGUACUACAACUACUUAUGUCAAUUAAACUAGAACUUUCCCCUCUACUUCAACUGCUAUUGCUCCUAUUUCUACUUUCUCUACUGCUGCUAUUGCUACUAUUUCUACUUUCUUUACUACUUUGACUUAUACUUCUUUUAUUCUCAAUCUACUUCUACUGCUGACAUGACUACUAGUAUCACGACUUGACUUCUUAUCAUACUUCUUCUAGUACUACAACUUAAACUUAUGCCACUUCUCACCUUCCUGCCUUUAAAGGCAGUUUCCUUCUUCAUUCAAACUUUGUGCAAUUUUCGACAUUUUUCUAGCCUCUUUCAGCAUGAAUAAAAUUUCCUUUUAUAGAGCAUAUUCAUACUAUUUGUCCUUCAACCAAUUAAACUAUUAUCCAACUUAUAUUUCUUUUUCACCCCUUCAACAGCUUUAACAUUUAUACCUUUCUCCAUGUUUUAUUAGCAGUUUAGCAUUGCUUUUUCAGCUUUCAGCACUCAGCAUUUCCACGCAUUUUCUGCAAGGAAAUGCAAUUUUUCUAGUAUUAUACUUAACACUCUCCCCAUACGUUUCUUUGGACCGCUUCUCCUCCUUCAAAAUUUGUCCGAUUUCAACCGUUCAAACUUUAAACUAUUCCACUCCAUCAGGACAUGUGUGCUUGUAUUUUUUUCCUUUCUAUCCUUUGUACUUUUUAUUAUUUUUCACUUUUUGUGCCAAACUUUUUUUCCCAUAGAAAUGAAUGGGGAAAUCUUCCACUUCUUCCUGUUAUUCGUCCACCUUCUAAGCCUUAUAACUUCACCAUACUUUCACCUAGAGACCUCAUUUUUGCUUUAAAAUGUUCAUUGUCUUGUCGACUAUUGAUGUUGUAUUAACCUCUUUGUGCUAUCUUUUACAGUUUUUCCACAGUUUAGCUUUAUGCAACUUGUGGUUUUCAGCAAAUUUCAGGCUUUAUAAUGGGGCAGUAUUGGAGAGGCUAGAGUGAUGAUUUGAAAAGCUAGAGUGCAGACCUCGUCUCUGAUCGACAGAACCUCGCUUGAAUAUAUCGCUCCCACGCCCACAAAUCUCACUCCACAGCCAUAAAAAAUACAUCAAAAUGGAGGUAUAUGUGUCCUGCUUCUCACAAAAGAGGUUUCAAAUCAUUAAAUCCUACCCCUUGGCCAGCAGGUGACCAACUGUCCAAAUAGGCGGAAAUCUCUCCCCAUUGGCCCUAAUGUAUUUUUUCUCCAAGAAAAUCCUUAUCGUCACUCAGGCUCAGACUUUUUUAACUCGCUGUUGUGGCCACAUUUUUCGGAGUACAGACAUGAAAAACACAUCAUUGUGUUCAUGAAGGGCGGAGGAUUCGUACGAUGUUCUUAUUUUCAUUCUGGGAUUUAAGGAAAUCGUGCUAUGUGAAAAAGUUCAGAACCCUAAAUUCACUGCAGUUCAGCAGCUUCUCAGUCAAACAGUAGGUCAGUGAUUUGCCUUUGAUCUUACAGCUGUUUAGGAUGCAAUCAUUAACGAGACACACACACACACACACACACACACACAUUCUGCAUCCAAGGUCCCCAUGGCAACCAAUUUGUGCACCUGGAGACACACAGCUGAAUGGAAAGCUGCUUCUAAUGGCCAUAUGAGACACAUGAAGCCAGACUCAGUACACAUAGCACUGGGGAUGACACUUAAAACCCUUUCCUAGAGCGCUUGAAAAAACUUCAGCCCCCAUCUCCUCACAUGACCUUUGACCUACAGAAACCAUUCAGGGCUUUAAAAUUUAAGCUCAUUGAGGACAUUAUGGGGUGUAUUCAGGAUUUUUCUUCAUAUACAUUUUUCAAAUUUUAAAGUCACUCAGUGUUGAUUUAUUAUUUAAUUUGUAAACUAAUUUAAACUCAUUCAAACUCAUUCAUACCUUUCUGAUACUUAAAAUCUUACUGAUACUUGAGGAUUUUCAAUUAUUUAAAUUUACCCUGAUUUAAAUUAGUUUUAAUAUUUAUGCAUUAUUCCAUCCUUCAAACAAAAUCCCAUCUCUAGAGCUACAACUACUGCUAAUGUCAAUUAAACUAGAACUUUCCCCUCUACUUCAACUGCUAUUGCUCCGAUUUCUACUUUCUCUACUGCUGCUAUUGCUACUAUUUCUACUUUUUCUACUACUUUGACUUAUACUUUUUUCCCAAACUACUUCUACUGCUGACAUGACUACUAAUAUCACUACUCGACUACUUAUCAUACUACUUCUAGUACUACAACUUAAACUUAUGCCACUUCUCACCUUCCUGCCUUUUAAGGCAAUUUCCUUCUUCAUUCAAACUUUGUGCAAUUUUAGACAUUUUUCUAGCCUCUUUCAGCAUGAAUAAAAUUUCCUUUUAUAGAGCAUAUUCAUACUAUUUGUCCUUCAACCAAUUAAACAAUUAUCCAACUUAUAUUUCUUUUUCACCCCUUCAACAGCUUUAACAUUUAUACCUUUCUCCAUGUUUUAUUAGCAGUUUAGCAUUGCUUUUUCAGCUUUCAGCACUCAGCAUUUCCACGCAUUUUCUGCAAGGAAAUGCAAUUUUUCUAGUUAAGUGGAAAUGCUGAUUAAGCAUUUCCACUUAUUGUUAUUCCUGUCGGCCAUUUUUCUUUAUUAUUAUUAAGUGGAAAUGCUGAUUAAGCAUUUCCACUUAUUGUUAUUCCUGUCGGCCAUUUUUCUUUAUUAUUAUUAUUAUUAUUAUUAAGUGGAAAUGCUGAUUAAGCAUUUCCACUUAUUGUUAUUCCUGUCGGCCAUUUUUCUUUAUUAAGUGGAAAUGCUGAUUAAGCAUUUCCACUUAUUGUUAUUCUGUUCUUUAUUAUUAUUAUUAUUAUUAUUAUUUUUCUUCCGCCGUUUUUCGUCCGCUUUCAACUCCUUCAAACUUUGUCCGAUUUCAACCGUUCAAACUUUAAACUAUUCCACUCCUUCAGGACAUGUUUGCUUGUACUUUUUACCUUUCUACCUUUUAUACUUUUUGUUUUUUUUAACUUUUUGUGCAAAAAUUUUAACAUUGAAGUCAAUGGGGAAAUCUUCCACUCCUUCCUUUUAUUCUUCCACCUUCUAGACCUUAUAACUUCAGCAUACUUUCACCUAGAAACCUCAUUUUUGCUUUAAAAUGUUCAUUCACUUGUCGACUAUUACAGUUGUACUCAGUUUUUUGAUAUCUCUUACAGUUUUUCCACAAUUUAGCUUUAAGCAACUUGUGGUUUUCAGCAAAUUUCAAGCUUUAUAAUGGGUGUGUAUUGGAGAGUUUAGAGUGAUGAUGUCAUCAGCUAGAGUGCAGACCUCGUCUCUGAUCGACAGAACCUCGCUCGAAUAUAUCGCUCCCACGCCCACAAAUCUCACUCCACUGACACAAAUAAUACAUCAAAAUGGAGGUGUAUGUGUCCUGCUUCUCACAAAAGAGGUUUCAAAUCAUUAAAUCCUACCCCUUGGCCAGCAGGUGACCAACUGUCCAAAAAAGGCGGAAAUCUCUCCCAUUGACCGUAAUGUUAUUUUUUAAUGUUAAAAUCUGGAUCAUCGCUCAGGCUCAGACUUUUUUAACUCGCUGUUGUGGCCUCAUUUUUCGAAGUACAGACAUGAAAAACACAUCAUUGUGUUCAUGAAGGACGGAGGAUUCGUACGAUGUUCUUAUUUUCAUUCUGGGACUUAAGGAAAUCACGCUAUGUGAAGAAGUUCACAGGCUUCAAAUCCUCUGCAGUUCAGCUGCUUCUCAUUCAAACAGUAGGUCAGUGAUUUGCCUUUGAUCUCACAGCUGUUUAGGAUUAAAUCAUUAAUGACACACACACACCUCUGACAAUGUGUGUGCGUCAGUCUCUUUCUCUCUAUGAGACCUUCAGGUACACACAGUAAAUAUGUGCCUGCGUGAGUCUCUCUCUGUCUAUGAGACCUGAACACACUUUGACCAUGUGUCUGCUUCACUACCUAUCUUCUCUCACAAACUUUGAGACACAGACACAUUUAGGGCUUCAAAAAUUGCAGCUCAUUGAGGACAUUAUGGAGUCUACAGAGGAUUCAUUUAAAUUGUCCUUAUUUAAAAUCAUUCUCAUUAUUUAUGCAUUAUUCAAUUCUUCUAACAAAUUUAAUCUCAUUCUUAUUCUAACC
rnacentral:lncRNA from 1 species